UACGGAGGAUCCGAGCGUUAUCCGGAUUUAUUGGGUUUAAAGGGUGCGCAGGCGGGAGAUUAAGUCGGCGGUGAAAUUUUGCAGCUCAACUGUAAAAGUGCCUUCGAAACUGGUUUCCUUGAGUGUAGAUGAAGUAGGCGGAAUUUGUGGUGUAGCGGUGAAAUGCAUAGAUAUCACGAGGAACUCCGAUUGCGCAGGCAGCUUACUAAUCCAUCAUUGACGCUGAGGCACGAAAGCGUGGGGAUCAAACAGGAUUAGAUA
rnacentral:rRNA from 1 species